AUUUACGUACCUUUAUAUUAUUAUUAUUAUAACGAUAAUAAUAUUAUGAUAUUGUACGCAUGUAGAUAAAUAGGAGUGUCCCGCGGCCGCUGCCAAGUCGCAUACGCGCCGCGACCGUAUAUCGUAAUGUGGCGCGCACAAAAUAAUGAUAAUUAAUACGGUAAAAAAAAAACGAGCGUGAGCGUGCGUAAAUAUAUAGCAGAUAAAUAAUAUAUGGGUACGUUAUUAUAAUAUGUGGCAUACACAGGGUCAUCCAAAUUAUUCGUUAUAGAAAUUCGGUAAUGGGAAUUUCAUUGACAUCUCUUACAAUCCGCGUAUAUAAUAUUAUAGCUACACAUUUUGCAACGUGGAAUUUGGACGACUCUCCUGCCCACCCUAAACCAUAACUGACAAGGAAUAUGGAUGCUUAAAGAAAUAUACCGAUACAAUAGAAUAGACAGUGGUAUAUUAAAUAAUACUGACUACUGAGGUCCGGAUUUGGGCAUAGCCGCAUAGCGGGCUCGAAAAUGCGACACCCGCUGUGGCAUUUUACGUCGAGGAAAAACGAAGUGGAUUAAUGUAUCAACAUACUAUGCCGAAUAAGACUGGUGAAAGUUCUUUCUCUCAGUCGGAACAUAAAACAACAAAAACUGCAAACAUCUGCGAUGACUCAGCGGUGCAUACUUCAAAUUAUAUAUAAAUUGAAAUUAACUAUGGAAAAGGAUUUUUUUAAAACAAUUAGUUUUUUUGUUGUUGUUGUUUUAUUAAAAUAUUUGCACAAUACCUACACAUAAUAA